UGGGUGGUGGCUCAGUGGUAGAGCGCUUGCCUAGCAUGUGUGAGGCACUGGGUUCGAUUCUCAGUACCAUAUAA
rnacentral:tRNA from 1 species